rnacentral:rRNA from 1 species
UCUGGUGAUGAUGGCGGAGAGGUCACACCCGUUCCCAUGCCGAACACGGAAGUUAAGCUCUUCAGCGCCGAUGGUAGUCGGGGGUUUCCCCCUGUGAGAGUAGGACAUCGCCAGGC